rnacentral:rRNA from 1 species
GGGGAAUUUUGGACAAUGGGGGCAACCCUGAUCCAGCCAUUCCGCGUGAGUGAAGAAGGCCUUCGGGUUGUAAAGCUCUUUUGUCCGGAGCGAAACGGGCGGCCCUAAUACGGUCGUCUACUGACGGUACCGGAAGAAUAAGCACCGGCUAACUACGUGCCAGCAGCCGCGGUAAUACGUAGGGUGCGAGCGUUAAUCGGAAUUACUGGGCGUAAAGCGUGCGCAGGCGGUUUUGUAAGCCAGAUGUGAAAUCCCCGGGCUCAACCUGGGAAUGGCAUUUGGGACUGCAAGGCUGGAGUGUGGCAGAGGGGACUAGAAUUCCUGGUGUAGCAGUGAAAUGCGUAGAUAUCAGGAGGAAUACCGAUGGCGAAGGCAGGUCCCUGGGUUAACACUGACGCUCAUGCACGAAAGCGUGGGGAGCAAAC